GAGCCCGUAGCUCAGUUGGUAGAGCGUUGCGUUUACAUCGCAAAUGUCGGGGGUUCAAAUCCCUCCGGGCUCACUA
rnacentral:tRNA from 1 species